rnacentral:rRNA from 1 species
GGAAGAAGGGAGCUUGCUCCCGGAUUAGCGGCGGACGGGUGAGUAACACCUGGGAAUCUGCCUGAUAGUGGGGGAUAACGUCCGGAAACGGGCGCUAAUACCGCGUACGUCCUACGGGAGAAAGCAGGGGAUCUUCGGACCUUGCGCUAUCAGAUGAGCCCAGGUCGGAUUGGCUUGUUGGUGAGGUAAUGGCUCACCAAGGCGACGAUCCGUAACUGGUCUGAGAGGAUGAUCAGUCACACUGGAACUGAGACACGGUCCAGACUCCUACGGGAGGCAGCAGUGGGGAAUAUUGGACAAUGGGGGCAACCCUGAUCCAGCCAUGCCGCGUGUGUGAAGAAGGUCUUCGGAUUGUAAAGCACUUUAAGUUGGGAGGAAGGGUUGUGGAUUAAUACUCUACAAUUUUGACGUUACCGACAGAAUAAGCACCGGCUAACUCUGUGCCAGCAGCCGCGGUAAUAUAGAGGGUGCAAGCGUUAAUCGGAAUUACUGGGCGUAA